UCACUCUCUCACACUCGCAUCUCCGUCAUGGUCCGUCUCUCUCAUUCUUAGACUCAUAUCUCACUCUCAUAGACAUCACUCCCUCUUACUCUCUCACACACCGCUCCUCUCUAUUGUAAUCGAACAUCGAUCUACAUUCCUCGGUCAAACAUCGAUCUCUGUCGCUCUAGGGCAUUGCUCUAGCUGCUCGUCAUCGAACUCGAACUUGAUCUUGAUCUCGAUCUCGAUCUGUUCUUCAUCUCAAAUCAAAUCAUUAUCAUUCUUCGAUUCUCUUCUUCUCUCUUCGAUCUCUCUGCAAAUCUCUCUCUCUCUCUCUAAACUCUGUUUGGAUCUAUCUGUGUACGAUCAUGGAGAUGGAACGUGUGAUCGAGUUUCCACACGCGGACAUGGAUCGUCGUCUCAGAAAAAGACCACGUUUGGGUUGGGAUGUUGCUCCUCAGGCCCUUAAGUUGCUUGAGCUAGAAAAGCUUGAUCUCCGUCUUUACUUGAGCGUACAUCUUCGAGAUUGUUCGAAUCCCUCUGAUCUAAAUCGAUCUAGGGCUCAAGGCAGAUAAUGCUAUUGUCUCACAGGAGUAGAAACUGAUGUUGCAAACCACUUUAUUUCACAAGGCCCUGAAAGAGGCUUUUGAGGUUUUCUGCAACAAACAAGUUUUUGGCUGCUCUAGUGCAGAGCUGCUGGCUUCAUUCUGUGAUAAUAUUCUCAAGAAAGGUGGGAAUGAAAAAUUGAAUGAUGAAGCCAUUGAGGACACAUUAGAUAAGGUGGUAAAGUUGCUUGCUUAUGUUAGUGAUAAAGACCUUUAUGCCGAAUUCUACAGUUUGAGGUAUUGUCUUCCCUUCAUCCAACUCCAGCAGUUUGUGGGUUUCCUACAGAAGAGGCAUGCAUUCUAAUUGCAAAAACUGAAAUGUUUGACCGAGGAAUGUAUGCUGGCCUGGUUGGUUGGUUGGUUUGGAGGAGGAGAAAAGUGAGUUUGCUGUUGGAAUAAGGAAAGCCUUGGUGGGAAGGGGACUUGUUGCAUUAAUUUAUGCUGGUACUGGUGUAGUUGAAGGAAGUAAUUCAUCUUUAGAAUGGGAGGAAUUGGAGCUGAAGACAUCUCAGUUUACCAAGUUGAUGAAACUUGAGGUUUUUAAGGAAUUUUAUCGAACAAAAACAAAACAUAGAAAGCUUUCUUGGAUUUACUCAUUGGGUACUUGCAACAUAAUUGGCAAGUUUGUGCCAAAAACUAUAGAGUUGAUUGUGGGAACUUGUCAGGUUCUGUUGUGUUUUACAUGUAUAGUUGGGCAAUCAUUGCAUCAAAAUUCAAGGAUAAAUCAACCAGGCAAUGUAGAAGAAGAUGGUACACUUGAAUUCUGAUUUCAAGAAAGGGGGUGGUCUCCAGAGGAAGACUUGCUCUUAUGCGAGGCUCGAAAAGUAUUUGGUAACAGAUGGACUGAAAUAGCCAAAGUGGUCUCAGGGAGAAUUGAUAAUGCUGUGAAGAAUUGAUUUUCCAGUGUGUAAGAAGAGGGCAAAAUAUGAAGCCUUAGUGAAAGAGAAUAAUAACACUUCAUACAUCAAUCCAAACAACAAAAGGGUUAUCUUUCGAAAAGUUGUAGCAUUAAAUUUCCAAGGAUAUAAAUUAGAAUUUUUAUGGUCUUCAAUUUGGCAUUGUAAUUCAACUUUGAGUCAAUCUGUGUUCUUUUAUAUUAAUUAUUAGUCAAUUCUUAAUCUCUGUUCCUAGUUAAA